UUCUUUCAGAAAGGAUGCAUUGGUUCAACAAAAAAACACCUAUUCAGCACAGUCACAUCAAUUGCGCUCAGCCUGUGCUGGACCUGCGGCCAUAGGUGACACUGUCCGAAUUCCAGUGACUAUCUGCACUGCACCUACACCCGCAGGUUGUCCAAGUGUGCGUGCAAAUCACCCUAUAGAGCGAAACAUUGUGCCUUUUACCUUGAAGGAUCGCAUCCCAUUGAGAUGUGUUGCGUAUGCGUUUGCAUGGCGUCCAAAAUGCGCCCGCACAUUGAGAAAGACAAUUCCAUCAGAUUUUUGGAUUAAAAUUUCACUUGUUCAUCAAGAUUCAAAUAAAUUUUAUCUAAAAAAUAGAUCUCAUCG
rnacentral:lncRNA from 1 species